AUGAAGAAGGUGAAGAAUAAGAUCCAUGACAAGGAGGGCAUCCCUCCAGACCAGCAGCGUCUCACAUUUGGUGGCAAGCAGCUGGAGGAUGGCUGCACCUUGGCCCAAAACGACAUCCAAAAGGAGUCUACCCUUCUUCUUGCCCUCCGUGGAGUGCUGGAGAUUUCUGUGGAGACCCUCAGCGGCAAGGUGGUCAUCCUCCCGGUGGAGCCAUCAGAUACCAUCCGUGCUGUCAAGGCAAAGAUCCAGGUUCAACAUCAUCUUAUCUUCAAGGGGGAGGAAAUGGUGGACAGCUUCACUUUGGCUAAUUAUGGCAUCAGGGAUAUGUCUAUGUCCGGUUUUGAGUUUCAUUUCCACCUCCAAGAAAGGAUGAAAAUCUACAUCAACGCACUGGACAACCCUCUCUAUGUUAAGAGCUCGGAUACUAUUGACAGUAUCAAGAUGAGGAUUAACGAUGAGUAUGGUAUUCAUCCAGGCCAGCAACGCCUCAUGUUCAAAAAGAUGGCGAUGAUAUUGAGAGUUGAUCCGCACUCAACCUUACAGGGCAGCCGUAUUUUGGCCUAUUAUAACAUCCAGAAUGGAGCCACUCUCGACCUUGUCAUCUGUCUCAGACCCAGACAAAUGCAGAUCUUCGUCAAGAAUUUGAUAUGGAAAACCUUGACGCUGCAGGUUGAGAGCUCGGAUACCAUUCACAGUGUCAAGGAGAAGAUUGAGCAAGUGGAACGUAUUGACCCGGCAAGGCAACGCCUCAUCUAUUGCGGGCGGCAGCUGGACGAUGGCCUUACACUAGCGGACUACAAGAUCGAGGCUGAAUCUACUCUUCGUCUUGGCCUCCGUCUCAGGUCAUGUUCAAAAUAUCCUGGCAACCAUGAGUAG
rnacentral:rRNA from 1 species